GCUGGGCGUGGUGGCUCAUGCCUGUAAUCCCAGCACUGUGGGAGGCUGAGGUGGGUGGAUCACCUGAGGUCAGGAGUUCAAGACCAGCCUGGCCAACAUGGCGAAACCCCAUCUCUA
rnacentral:SRP_RNA from 1 species